rnacentral:rRNA from 1 species
UACGUAGGGCGCAAGCGUUAUCCGGAAUUAUUGGGCGUAAAGAGCUCGUAGGCGGUCUGUCACGUCGGCUGUGAAAACCCGAGGCUCAACCUCGGGCCUGCAGUCGAUACGGGCAAACUAGAGUACUGCAGGGGAGACUGGAAUUCCUGGUGUAGCGGUGAAAUGCGCAGAUAUCAGGAGGAACACCGGUGGCGAAGGCGGGUCUCUGGGCAGUAACUGACGCUGGAGGAGCGAAAAGCGUGGGGAGCGAACAGG